rnacentral:rRNA from 1 species
GACGAACGCUGGCGGCGUGCUUAACACAUGCAAGUCGAACGGUGAAGCGCCUUCCUUUUUGGUGGGUGUGGAUGAGUGGCGAACGGGUGAGUAACACGUGAGUAACCUGCCCCCUUCUUCUGGAUAACCGCAUGAAAGUGUGGCUAAUACGGGAUAUUCUGGGUCUGUCGCAUGAUGGGUCUGGGAAAGAUAUUGUUUCGGUGGGGGAUGGGCUCGCGGCCUAUCAGCUUGUUGGUGGGGUGAUGGCCUACCAAGGCGGUGACGGGUAGCCGGCCUGAGAGGGUGGACGGUCACACUGGGACUGAGACACGGCCAAGACUCCUACGGGAGGCAGCAGUGGGGAAUAUUGCACAAUGGGCGCAAGCCUGAUGCAGCGACGCCGCGUGAGGGAUGGAGGCCUUCGGGUUGUGAACCUCUUUCGCCAGUGAAGCAGGCCUGCCUCGUUUGUGGGUGGGUUGACGGUAGCUGGAUAAGAGGCGCCGGCUAACUACGUG